rnacentral:rRNA from 1 species
UACGGGGGGGGCAAGCGUUGUUCGGAAUUACUGGGCGUAAAGGGCUCGUAGGCGGCCAACUAAGUCAGACGUGAAACCCCUCGGCUUAACCGGGGAACUGCGUCUGAUACUGGAUGGCUUGAGAUUGGGAGAGGGAUGCGGAAUUCCAGGUGUAGCGGUGAAAUGCUUAGAUAUGACAUAGAACACCAAUUGCGAAGGCAGCUCACUACGGAUAUAUUGACACUGAGGCACGAAAGCGUGGGGAUCAAACAGG